rnacentral:misc_RNA from 1 species
GUUAGCCACACCAAGGCAGCCAC